rnacentral:rRNA from 1 species
AGCAUGCGCGUGUGUGAUGAAGGCNNNGGAUCGUAAAGCACUUUCGCCAGGGAGUGAUAAGUGACAGUACCGUGGUAAAGAAACCCCGGCUAACUCCGUGCCAGCAGCCGCGKUAAUACGGAGGGGGWUAGCGUUGUUCGGAAUUACUGGKCGUAAAGCGUACGUAGGCGGAUCAGAAAGUUUGRGRGUGAAAUCCCGGGGCUCAACCCCGGAACUGCCUCCAAAACUCCUGGUCUUGAGUUCGAGAGAGGWGAGUGGAAUUCCAAGUGUAGAGGUGAAAUUCGUAGAUAUUUGGAGGAACACCAGUGGCGAAGGCGGCUCACUGGCUCGAUACUGACGCUGAGGUACGAAAGUGUGGGGAGCAAACAGGAUUAGAUACCCUGRUAGUCCACACCGUAAACGAUGAAUGCCAGUCGUCGGGCAGUAUACUGUUCGGUGACACACUAACGGAUUAA